UUUUUUUGCCCCAGCCGAUAGGUCUCUAGACGUUACAGAGAACCCCGAACAACCCAAACUGUUAAUCUUCAAUACCGCUUUGUACUUACGAUCUUGUAUCCACUGACUGUCUUGUUAGAUUAACACAAUAAAUUUCAUUCACUCCGCAUACUCAAUCCUAUAGACACCCCUUUAAUCCUUCAAUCACUGACGUAACUCGAUUUUACAAAACAGUCAAGAGUAUUCAAACCCACUUCAUUUAAAAAUCCCGAUUCACUAUUACAACACUGACUUCAGCAGCGAUUGCCUCAAUCUUCCCAAAACUCU
rnacentral:lncRNA from 1 species